AUUGAACGCUGGCGGCAUGCCUUACACAUGCAAGUCGAACGGCAGCACGGGAGCAAUCCUGGUGGCGAGUGGCGAACGGGUGAGUAAUAUAUCGGAACGUGCCCAGUCGUGGGGGAUAACGCAGCGAAAGUUGUGCUAAUACCGCAUACGAUCUAUGGAUGAAAGCGGGGGAUCGCAAGACCUCGCGCGAUUGGAGCGGCCGAUAUCAGAUUAGGUUGUUGGUGAGGUAAAAGCUCACCAAGCCUGCGAUCUGUAGCUGGUCUGAGAGGACGACCAGCCACACUGGGACUGAGACACGGCCCAGACUCCUACGGGAGGCAGCAGUGGGGAAUUUUGGACAAUGGGCGAAAGCCUGAUCCAGCCAUGCCGCGUGCAGGAAGAAGGCCUUCGGGUUGUAAACUGCUUUAGUCUAGGAAAAAGGGGUGCGAGGUUAAUACCCUCGUGCUUUGAUGGUACUGGAAGAAUAAGCACCGGCUAACUACGUG
rnacentral:rRNA from 1 species